rnacentral:rRNA from 1 species
GGGGAAUAUUGGGCAAUGGGCGCAAGCCUGACCCAGCAACGCCGCGUGAAGGAAGAAGGCUUUCGGGUUGUAAACUUCUUUUGUCAGGGACGAGUAGAAGACGGUACCUGACGAAUAAGCCACGGCUAACUACGUGCCAGCAGCCGCGGUAAUACGUAGGUGGCAAGCGUUGUCCGGAUUUACUGGGUGUAAAGGGCGUGUAGCCGGGAAGGCAAGUCAGAUGUGAAAUCCACGGGCUCAACUCGUGAACUGCAUUUGAAACUGUUUUUCUUGAGUAUCGGAGAGGCAAUCGGAAUUCCUAGUGUAGCGGUGAAUGCGUAGAUAUUAGGAGGAACACCAGUGGCGAAGGCGGAUUGCUGGACGACAACUGACGGUGAGGCGCGAAAGCGUGGGGAGCAAAC